GAUGAACGCUGGCGGCGUGCCUAAUACAUGCAAGUCGAGCGAACGGACGAGAAUCUUGCUUCUCUGAUGUUAGCGGCGGACGGGUGAGUAACACGUGGAUAACCUACCUAUAAGACUGGGAUAACGUCGGGAAACCGGAGCUAAUACCGGAUGAUAUUUUGAACCGCAUGGUUCAAAAGUGAAAGACGUUCUUGCUGUCACUUAUAGAUGGAUCCGCGCUGCAUUAGCUAGUUGGUAAGGUAACGGCUUACCAAGGCAACGAUGCAUAGCCGACCUGAGAGGGUGAUCGGCCACACUGGAACUGAGACACGGUCCAGACUCCUACGGGAGGCAGCAGUAGGGAAUCUUCCGCAAUGGGCGAAAGCCUGACGGAGCAACGCCGCGUGAGUGAUGAAGGUCUUCGGAUCGUAAAACUCUGUUAUUAGGGAAGAACAUAUGUGUAAGUAACUGUGCACAUCUUGACGGUACCUAAUCAGAAAGCCACGGCUAACUACGUG
rnacentral:rRNA from 1 species